rnacentral:rRNA from 1 species
AUUGAACGCUGGCGGCAGGCCUAACACAUGCAAGUCGAACGGUAACAGGAAGAAGCUUGCUUCUUUGCUGACGAGUGGCGGACGGGUGAGUAAUGUCUGGGAAACUGCCUGAUGGAGGGGGAUAACUACUGGAAACGGUAGCUAAUACCGCAUAAUGUCGCAAGACCAAAGAGGGGGACCUUCGGGCCUCUUGCCAUCGGAUGUGCCCAGAUGGGAUUAGCUAGUAGGUGGGGUAACGGCUCACCUAGGCGACGAUCCCUAGCUGGUCUGAGAGGAUGACCAGCCACACUGGAACUGGGACACGUUCCAGACUCCUACGGGAGGCAGCAGUGGGGAAUAUUGCACAAUGGGCGCAAGCCUGAUGCAGCUAUGCCGCGUGUAUGAAGAAGGCCUUCGGGUUGUAAAGUACUUUCAGCGGGGAGGAGGGAGUAAAGUUAAUACCUUUGCUCAUUGACGUUACCCGCAGAAGAAGCACCGGCUAACUCCGU